ACUCUUGGAGGCCUGCGGACAGCAGUUUCACCUACUUGAACUUCUUAAGUCUUUUGCAGUUAACCCAGCACAAGUUUUAGCAUUGGACUAACUGGGAUUCAAAUUCUGUGUGCUACUUCUAGCCCUACUAGAAGGUACUUCUAGGGCAUUUCAAGCGGGACUGGGCUUCAUUUCCUCCCAUGUAAAAUGGGGUGAAAGACGCCGAGGAGGUCGUUAUGAGAACUAGAUGCUGGCGCUUCUCUGGCCAAGAUGGACUGGUGCAAAAGCAGCUCUCUUGUUGCCUGAGGCUAAAUGCUGGCAUCAGCAGAAUAACAGCACGGGAGUCUCAAGUUUCAGGAAGCUGAUCUCCCAGUCCUGAACUGCUUCCCUAUGAACUUUUGCAUGGAAAUAAAGUUUUGUUUUAUAAGUCA